CGUUAUGGCAGCUGUGCGCGGGAGGCCUUCUGGCCUGCCGGGUUCCUGGGUGACCGGUUUUUCCACCCCGCGUACAGUUGCCGCCUCU
rnacentral:antisense_RNA from 2 species